rnacentral:lncRNA from 1 species
UGGACUUAUGGAAGAGGUGAAGUAGCUUAGCUCUAUCUCAUUAGCUCUCAUCUGUUCUAUUAAUGCUAAGAUCAAUAGUAAAAAGUUCUAUUGGUUUUAUAAUCAAAGAUACAUAUAUUAUAUAAACAGAGGAUAUAUCAUUAAUUUCUUGAUGUAAACAAUGAUAAUUUGAAGAACCAUUUAAAGUAUUUUCGUAAUCG